CAAAAGGCAAACCAUAUGAUAAAAUCUGAACACCAAGAAUAGUACAAAAUUUUUGUAAUAAAAGGAGGUUUAUACAGUGCAUAUGCUAUUUAACAAGUGAAUAACACAGCCUUAAGUUUAUAUCCCCCUAUAGCGAAACAAAGGAGAAAUCAAGUAGCAUAAGUUCAUAAUACUAGUAAAGAGAGAACAGCAGCCACGAAAGAUCGUUAAUAUCAGCACUUAGCUAUAUCCGACUUGUUGCUGUUGCUGUGGCUGUUGAUAAUUUCCAUACCCAGGAUACCCUCCAUAGUACAUG
rnacentral:lncRNA from 1 species